rnacentral:rRNA from 1 species
AUGAAUGCUGGCGGCGUGUCUAAGGCAUGCAAGUCGAACGGCCACGUAGAGCGCGCAAGCGCUUUUACGUGGUAGUGGCAAACGGGUGCGUAACACAUUGGUAACCUACCUCCCAGUCGGGCAUAACCCACCGAAAGGUGGACUAAUUCCACGAUGGUCUCCCCAAAGCGUAAGCCAAAGGGAGUAAAGCGCAAAACGCGCUGGGAGAGGGGCCUAUGGCCCAUCAGCUAGUUGGUAAGGUAACGGCUUACCAAGGCUAUGACGGGUAGGGGGUGUGAGAGCACGACCCCCCUCACUGGGACUGAGACACUGCCCAGACACCUACGGGUGGCUGCAGUCGAGAAUAUUCCCCAAUGGACGCAAGUCUGAGGGAGCGACGCCGCGUGUGGGAAGAAGGCCUUCGGGUCGUAAACCACUUUUGCCGAGGAAGAAAUCUGACGGUACUCGGAGAAUAAGAGGUUGCUAACUCUGU